CCUACGGGGGGCUGCAGUGGGGAAUAUUGGACAAUGGGCGAAAGCCUGAUCCAGCCAUGCCGCGUGUGUGAAGAAGGCCUUCGGGUUGUAAAGCACUUUCAGUGGGGAAGAAAGCCUUGGGGCUAAUACCCUCGGGGAAGGACAUCACCCACAGAAGAAGCACCGGCUAACUCCGUGCCAGCAGCCGCGGUAAUACGGAGGGUGCGAGCGUUAAUCGGAAUUACUGGGCGUAAAGCGCGCGUAGGCGGUCUGAUAAGCCGGUUGUGAAAGCCCCGGGCUCAACCUGGGAACGGCAUCCGGAACUGUCAGGCUAGAGUGCAGGAGAGGAAGGUAGAAUUCCCGGUGUAGCGGUGAAAUGCGUAGAGAUCGGGAGGAAUACCAGUGGCGAAGGCGGCCUUCUGGACUGACACUGACGCUGAGGUGCGAAAGCGUGGGUAGCAAACAGGAUUAGAUACCCCAGUAGUC
rnacentral:rRNA from 1 species